UUAAUAUUUUACAUAAUUUGAUAUCUAGUCUAUUUUGUAUGCUGAAAUUUGGGGAGAGGGUAAUGUCAAUUUGUCAAUGUGCAAUUUGUGUGU